AUUGAACGCUGGCGGCAGGCCUAACACAUGCAAGUCGCACGAGUGGCGGACGGGUGAGUAAUGUCUGGGAAACUGCCUGAUGGAGGGGGAUAACUACUGGAAACGGUAGCUAAUACCGCAUACCAUCGGAUGUGCCCUGAUGGGAUUCGCUAGUAGGUAGGGUAACGGCUCACCUAGGCGACGAGCCCGAGCUGGUCUGAGAGGAUGACAAGCAAAACUGGAACUGAGACACGGUCCAGACUCCUACGGGAGGCAGCAGUGGGGAAUAUUGCACAAUGGGAGAAAGCCUGAUGCAGCCAUGCCGCGUGUAUGAAGAAGGCCUUAGGGUGGUAAAGUACUUUCAGCGGGGAGGCGUUACCCACAGAAGAAGCACCGGCUAACUCCGUGCCAGCAGCCGCGGUAAUAC
rnacentral:rRNA from 1 species